rnacentral:rRNA from 1 species
ACGCUCGACACCUACGGGGAGGCAGCAGGUGGGGAAUAUUGGGCAAUGGGCGCAAGCCUGACCCAGCAACGCCGCGUGAAGGAAGAAGGCCCUCGGGUUGUAAACUUCUUUUGUCAGGGACGAAGCAAGUGACGGUACCUGACGAAUAAGCCACGGCUAACUACGUGCCACAGCCGCGGUAAUCUGAGCGGGCUGGCAAGGC